GGCUCAGGAUGAACGCUGGCGGCGUGCCUAAUACAUGCAAGUCGAGCGAACGGACGAGAAGCUUGCUUCUCUGAUGUUAGCGGCGGACGGGUGAGUAACACGUGGAUAACCUACCUAUAAGACUGGGAUAACUUCGGGAAACCGGAGCUAAUACCGGAUAAUAUUUUGAACCGCAUGGUUCAAAAGUGAAAGACGGUCUUGCUGUCACUUAUAGAUGGAUCCGCGCUGCAUUAGCUAGUUGGUAAGGUAACGGCUUACCAAGGCAACGAUGCAUAGCCGACCUGAGAGGGUGAUCGGCCACACUGGAACUGAGACACGGUCCAGACUCCUACGGGAGGCAGCAGUAGGGAAUCUUCCGCAAUGGGCGAAAGCCUGACGGAGCAACGCCGCGUGAGUGAUGAAGGUCUUCGGAUCGUAAAACUCUGUUAUUAGGGAAGAACAUAUGUGUAAGUAACUGUGCACAUCUUGACGGUACCUAAUCAGAAAGCCACGGCUAACUACGUGCCAGCAGCCGCGGUAAUACGUAGGUGGCAAGCGUUAUCCGGAAUUAUUGGGCGUAAAGCGCGCGUAGGCGGUUUUUUAAGUCUGAUGUGAAAGCCCACGGCUCAACCGUGGAGGGUCAUUGGAAACUGGAAAACUUGAGUGCAGAAGAGGAAAGUGGAAUUCCAUGUGUAGCGGUGAAAUGCGCAGAGAUAUGGAGGAACACCAGUGGCGAAGGCGACUUUCUGGUCUGUAACUGACGCUGAUGUGCGAAAGCGUGGGGAUCAAACAGGAUUAGAUACCCUGGUAGUCCACGCCGUAAACGA
rnacentral:rRNA from 1 species